CUUCCCUUACCUCCAUCAAAGUUAACAUCAAUGAGAAGCUGCGGUUUUUAUGUAUUUGUCAAGAAUCCAUCAUCGCGAAUAUUUUGCCAUCUCCGAACUUCCAAUGGAAAGGCAUUGAUAAACAUGGAUUUCAUUGUUCAAAUAUUCCCAGCCAUUGUGAGAUUUUCCUGACUGGACAUCAUUAAAAGGACUUGAGGGAAAAUGUCUACUGCUGUGUCACCUCUCAAACGGAUCUUUCAACAUGGAUUUCCCACCUGUCUAGUGUCCUGAAAGAAGAUGGGUGAGUACAAUUUUAAAAGUUUUAAUAGUCUAGCUUGUAUUUAUUUGAAUUUAAAAUACAAAAUUUAAA